rnacentral:rRNA from 1 species
CCUACGGGAGGCUGCAGUGGGGAAUAUUGCACAAUGGGCGCAAGCCUGAUGCAGCCAUGCCGCGUGUGUGAAGAAGGCCUUCGGGUUGUAAAGCACUUUCAGCGGGGAGGAAGGCGUUAAGGUUAAUAACCUUGUCGAUUGACGUUACCCGCAGAAGAAGCACCGGCUAACUCCGUGCCAGCAGCCGCGGUAAUACGGAGGGUGCAAGCGUUAAUCGGAAUUACUGGGCGUAAAGCGCACGCAGGCGGUCUGUCAAGUCGGAUGUGAAAUCCCCGGGCUCAACCUGGGAACUGCAUUCGAAACUGGCAGGCGAGAGUCUUGUAGAGGGGGGUAGAAUUCCAGGUGUAGCGGUGAAAUGCGUAGAGAUCUGGAGGAAUACCGGUGGCGAAGGCGGCCCCCUGGACAAAGACUGACGCUCAGGUGCGAAAGCGUGGGGAGCAAACAGGAUUAGAUACCCUUGUAGUC